rnacentral:tRNA from 1 species
AUUAUAGGGCCAGGAUAUUUGGUAUACAUUGAUGAUGUAUAUAUAUAUAUAUAU